GGGAAAUGAUGAAUUACCAUCUGAUAAUUGUGAUGAUUUUUGAAAAUUCCUCCAGAUAGUCAAGUACUGAUCCAG